UACAGAGGUCUCGAGCGUUGUUCGGAUUCAUUGGGCGUAAAGGGUGCGUAGGUGGCGCUGUAAGUCGGGUGUGAAAUCCUGAGGCUUAACCUCGGAACUGCAUUCGAUACUGCGGCGCUUGAGGACUGGAGAGGAGACUGGAAUUCAUGGUGUAGCAGUGAAAUGCGUAGAGAUCAUGAGGAAGAUCAGUGGCGAAGGCGGGUCUCUGGACAGUUCCUGACACUGAGGCACGAAGGCCAGGGGAGCAAACGGG
rnacentral:rRNA from 1 species